UUUUUCAGAGAGUGCGCUAACGCAUGAAAUCAGCAGCCUAAAGACUACGGCCGCAAGGCUAAAAUUUAAAGGAAUUGACGGGGGCUUACACAAGCGGUGGAGCAUGUGGUUUAAUUCGAAACAACGCGCAGAACCUUACCAAUCCUUGCAAUAUACAGAAAGCGAAGGUUAUGCUUUGUAUUUUGGUAUACAGGCGCUGCAUGGCUGUCGUCAGUUCGUGGCGUGAGCUGUUGGGUUAAGUCCUAGAACGAACGCAACCCUCUUGAUAUGUGUAUAUUUUUUAGUAUACCUUAUCAUACUGCCAGUGACAUACGGGAGGAAGGUGAGGAUGACGUCAAGUCCGCAUGGCCCUUAUGGGUUGGGCUACACACGUGCUACAAUGGCGGAAGCAAAAGGUGGCAAUAUGGUGACAUGGAGCAAAUCCUUAAAAGCCGUCGUAGUUCGGAUUGUUCUCUGCAACUCGAGAACAUGAAGAUGGAAUCGCUAGUAAUCGUAGAUCAGCAUGCUACGGUGAAUUUGUAUCUAAGCCUUGUACACACCGCCCGUCACAUAAUGGGAGCGAGAUCUGCACAAAGUAUUGUAUGGGUAUAUAUACAUAUGUCUAUUUUGUUAUGCAUAAGAUGUAUAUUUUAUAGGAUAGCACUGUAGGUAUUGUGACUGAUAUGAAGUCGAAACAAGGUAGCCGUAGGGGGAACCUGCGGCUGGAU
rnacentral:rRNA from 1 species